AAAUAAGAAGCAAUUUUUGCAUUUAAUUUCGACUUAAAAGUUAGAGUACUUAAACUCCUUAUUUA
rnacentral:tRNA from 1 species